GUGGGGAAUUUUGGACAAUGGGCGCAAGCCUGAUCCAGCAAUGCCGCGUGCAGGAAGAAGGCCUUCGGGUUGUAAACUGCUUUUGUACGGAACGAAACGGUCCUGGCUAAUAUCCGGGGCUAAUGACGGUACCGUAAGAAUAAGCACCGGCUAACUACGUGCCAGCAGCCGCGGUAAUACGUAGGGUGCGAGCGUUAAUCGGAAUUACUGGGCGUAAAGCGUGCGCAGGCGGUGCUGUAAGACAGGCGUGAAAGCCCCGGGCUCAACCUGGGAAUUGCGCUUGUGACUGCAGUGCUGGAGUGCGGCAGAGGGGGAUGGAAUUCCGCGUGUAGCAGUGAAAUGCGUAGAUAUGCGGAGGAACACCGAUGGCGAAGGCAAUCCCCUGGGCCUGCACUGACGCUCAUGCACGAAAGCGUGGGGAGCAAACAGGAUUAGAAACCCCGGUAGUCC
rnacentral:rRNA from 1 species